UACGUAGGGGGCUAGCGUUGUCCGGAUUUAUUGGGCGUAAAGAGCGCGUAGGCGGCCUUGUAAGUCCGUUGUGAAAACUCGAGGCUCAACCUCGAGACGCCGGUGGAAACUGCAAAGCUAGAGUCCGGAAGAGGAGAGUGGAAUUCCUGGUGUAGCGGUGAAAUGCGCAGAUAUCAGGAAGAACACCCGUGGCGAAGGCGGCUCUCUGGGACGGUACUGACGCUGAGGCGCGAAAGCGUGGGGAGCAAACAGG
rnacentral:rRNA from 1 species